UAGGGAAUCUUCCACAAUGGGCGCAAGCCUGAUGGAGCAACGCCGCGUGAGUGAAGAAGGUCUUCGGAUCGUAAAACUCUGUCGUUAGAGAAGAACAUGCAGGAGAGUAACUGUUCUUGUAUUGACGGUAUCUAACCAGAAAGCCACGGCUAACUACGUGCCAU
rnacentral:rRNA from 1 species